GUCCACGCCGUAAACGAUGAGUGCUAGGUGCUGCGGGUAUUGACCCCUGCGGUGCCGUAGCUAACGCGUUAAGCACUCCGCCUGGGGAGUACGGCCGCAAGGCUAAAACUCAAAGGAAUUGACGGGGGCCCGCACAAGCGGUGGAGCAUGUGGUUCAAUUCGACGCAACGCGCAGAACCUUACCUGGGUUAAAUCCACUGGAACCUUGUAGAGAUACAGGGGUGCAACUUCGGUUGAGCCAGUGAGACGGUGCUGCAUGGCUGUCGU
rnacentral:rRNA from 1 species